CUUCCUCACCACCAUGCCCCGCAGACGCCUCGCUGCCCUCCCACAAUGCUGCGAUGUAAGGACAAUGACAAUCAGCCCUCGCGCCAAACCACUCGAUGGUGAUUGUCGUGAUAUAAGACGCGCGUGUUGUGUGUGUGUUCGAGCGAUGACGUGCAUAGCAGACGGUACAUAAACCACUUGGCGUUGAGCUAUUGUGUGUGUGUGUUCGCGUAUCGUGGCGUCUUGCAAAGGUGGCAUUAGCCAGAGACCAUUUCACAAUCCCCUGGGAAUGACAUCACCGCUGAGCAAUGAAUUAAAAAAGACGAAGAUACGCGUAAUAGUUUAUUUUUAUAUGCGGGGUUACAGAACAAUAGGUCUAUUUAAUCAUCUCAUUAUUUGAAACGAUGCACCGCAGCGCACCACGGAACGUCCAUCGCCGAGCGAAGCAGCCGCCCGCAGACACUCCGCGAUUGCCCCCCAGCCUGCCCCGAGGCCUCCUCGGUCGUCGUCUCAGCCACGUGGGGGAAGCUGCCGUACCCGGCGGGGGGUUCCCUCCUCGUCGUCCGCUACAGCGCUCGCUCCUGCGAGAGGGCCACGUGUCGCACGCACGCUGCGUUGUGGUGGUGGUGCAGGUUGGGUGGGGUGGCCGGGUCCCCCGAGCGUGGGGGGUGGUGCGG